CAAAAUAAUCUCAGUUCCCGCUUCUCUCCUCGUUCCCCUUCUCUGGUUCUUUUUUCCCUAGAAAUGAACAUUUUUAUUUUUUUUCAUUUUCCCUCUUCUCCCCCUUCCCUUUCUCUGGUUCUCUGGUUUCUAACAAGGCCACGGAACUCAAAAUUCACAGCACAUACACCGUGACAAGCCGCGGCGCCGCUGCUCUUAGGAUUUCUGCGUGUGCGUUUCUGACGUCGAGUCAUUCGUAUUGUUGAGAUGGGUUUGCCAAUUGUCGAAUCUUCCGAUUUCAAGAUUAGUGGAGAAGAUGUGUUUAUCAUUGAAAAAGCUGAUUGUGUUGAAGAAAUCAAAUGGAAGUAGAUCAAGACCACCUCUAUUGAAAUCAGUGUAGUGUGCACAACAAACAGGCAAUACGGAGUGCAGCUAUUGCGUGAUGAAGUACAUGUACGAUAUAGUUACAAGGUGUACGGAUGUCAAGGAUCUCGAAGAGGUAUUCAAUAAUCCGAGGGAGCGGCUUUUCACCUUUGAUGAGAUAGAUGAAGUUCGAGAAAUGUUGGCAAACUCCAUUAUUAGUGAUUGUCUUUGAUAUUUUCUUGUACUGAAUGUUAAAUUAUGGAUGCUUGUUUCUCAUAUAAUUGUAAUGUAAACGACUUUUAUAUUUACAAUUAUAUACUAUUUAAUUUAAUUAUCUAUAUAAUUGGAUAGUUUUUAUAUGA